UUGAAAGAUUAAUUUAAGUUAUAGAAAUUAAGUUUCAGGCUACUGGGGUGAAGUUGCUAGAAUCAGUGGACAAAGUGGUUACACUGGAUAAUAAACUAAAAGAUAAAACCGAGUAUACUAAUUUGCUUGAUAGUUUAAAAAAGAUUGGUGGUGGAAAGCCAAGAAAACAUGUUUUUUUGAUCAUGAAAAGGUUAUUUUCGAAUCAGUUACAGUCCAAAUUAAAUCGAAAAGGAAAUGGGGAAAAGAUAAGCUUAGAAAAUCUAGUAAAUAUAUGGAGUGUUUUACGAGAUAUCGGCGACGUGGAAGAAAAUGUUGACGGCAAUGCAGAAAUAUAGUUUCUUAUGUAUAAUUUUGUGAAAUAAAAAUUAAGUAAUGUUAGUUAAAA